CAAGAAAGGCUCCAUCAUGAAGAUCCCAGGUUGCAACAACACAGAGAAGAUCAGCAUGAUCCCUACGCAAGGCAGUGAAGUGCAAAUUCAUGACAUGCUCCAUAAAAUU